GCCAGACUCCUACGGGAGGCAGCAGUGGGGAAUAUUGCACAAUGGGGGAAACCCUGAUGCAGCAACGCCGCGUGAGUGAAGAAGUAUUUCGGUAUGUAAAGCUCUAUCAGCAGGGAAGAAAAAAGACGGUACCUGACUAAGAAGCCCCGGCUAACUACGUGCCAGCAGCCGCGGUAAUACGUAGGGGGCAAGCGUUAUCCGGAUUUACUGGGUGUAAAGGGAGCGUAGACGGCAAUACAAGUCGGAAGUGAAAUACCCGGGCUCAACCUGGGAACUGCUUUGGAAACUGUAUGGCUGGAGUGCUGGAGAGGUAAGCGGAAUUCCUAGUGUAGCGGUGAAAUGCGUAGAUAUUAGGAGGAACACCAGUGGCGAAGGCGGCUUACUGGACAGUAACUGACGUUGAGGCUCGAAAGCGUGGGGAGCAAACAGGAUUAGAUACCCCUGUA
rnacentral:rRNA from 1 species